GCUUUAGUCCGCAGACGUUCAGCUGCUAUUGUUCCAUUUGCCAAAUUAGAUCAAUCAAGUGAAAUUCAAAAAGUUAGAGCUACUAUAUUUUCACUUUGGAAAGUCAAGAAUAGGCAGUCUGGCUUUGUUAUAGAAAUGGUAUUGGUUGACGAAGAGGGCACUAGGAUUCACGCUACUGUUGAUGAAGAAUUGAUCGCAAAACGUAAAGGGAUCCUUAUAGAAGGAAAACCACUUUCUAUUAAUUGCUUCAUAAUUAAAGAAUACUAUGGUGAUUUUAGGACGACUCUAUUACCAUACAAGAUCGCUUUGUGUAAGACAACCCGUGCUAAGGAGAUUAAUGAUUUUCCAUCAGAUUUGCCAGAGAAAUAUUUGUCUGAUUUCAAGUCAAUCAAAGAAGACAAACUCGACAAAAACGUCCUCAUCGAUGUCAUUGGACAAAUUGUCACCAUUGGGAGUAUGGAAGUUAUAAAAACUAAAGGAAAAAGUGGGAUCAGCGAGAAAUUGAUGAUAACAUUCCGGGAUACCAACGAUGUCCAACUGAAAUGUACACUAUGGGGACAAUAUGCUAAAUCAAUUGUUGAGUACACUAUUGCUAUUGUUGUGUGUGUAAUGCGAUUUGUCUGUAUAAAAGAGUACAAAGGUGACAUUUCAAUAUCAAACGCUUUCAACUCCACCAAAAUUUUGUUUGAUCCUGACAUCAAGAUCGUGAAAGACUUCAGAGAAAAGUUGCCAAAAAACAAUCAAAUGAUUGUGCAUGCUGAACAGAGUUAUUCGACUUCUUGGGGUGGUGCUAUUGACUACCGUGAAGAAUUUUUAGGUGUGAAAAAUAGGAGGCGGACAAUAGCUGGAAUUCGUGAUACAAAAGUGCCUGGCAAGAUUGUAACAUGCGUUACGGUCAAAGACGUUGAUACUUCAAAGCUGUGGUAUUAUUGGGCAUGCAAACCUUGCAACAUCAAAGUUUUAAAGCAUGGAAUUAUGUCUGAUGAUGAAGAUUACGAUAAGAGGAUUCCUCUUUUCAGUUGCAAAAAUUGUGGUGAUAUUUAUUCAUAUGAUAUCAUCGUCGCAAGGUACUACAUUGUAUUAUUUGUAACUGAUGAUUCAGAUGUUGAUGUCCGCUUCCUGAUGUUUGAUGACACAGCUCAAAGAUUGUUAGGUCAUUUAGCUGAGUCUAUAAUAGAACAAUAUGAUGAGGAUUUACCAAGAGGGCUCCCUGAUGGCUUGAAAAAUCUCCUAACUAUGAGGAUGCUUUUCAAAAUAACAAUUUCAGAAGAACAUACAAAAUGAAGCCAGUCUCCGUAUGUAGUAGAACUAUAGUCUCAAGAUGUCGACAUUAUGACUGAGUGGAAUUCUCGAUCAGAGACGAACUUGAGAAUCCAUCGUCUGGAUCUUCACUCACUCCUUCUUCUAAGAAGGUAAUUAAGAGUCCCGACUAUUUGGAUGAAGGUGAAAGAUCUGUUAAGAAAAAGCGACCGAAGCAAGAGAUCCCAAUGAAGUUAUGAAGAAGCAAGAAAUCGUAAUGAACUUAUUGCAGAAAUGCAUUGCUGGUGAUUGAUUAUUGCUUUUGAUAUUUGUAACCAAUUUGUCCAAUGGGUGGAUAACGUUUAAACUCUAUUCGUUAUUUUGUUUGCGGUAUUUGUGGAACUUCGUGGAACAUUAAUGUUG